AGGCAGCCCCCUUAGCCCUAGCCAUGGCAAGGGAGGUGUUAUUCUUCUCAGAUAUCGAUCUUUUGCUCUUCAGACCUGCCGAACCAUUCUUGAAGCUGGUCUAGUAAGCAUAAGUACAUU
rnacentral:snoRNA from 11 species